AAAACAUAGCCCUAGGUUUAAUCUAAGGUGUGACCUGCCCAGUGAUUAAUAAACCCAAAAUUAACUUUUUGGUAAUUUAAUUAAAAGGAAGCGGUAACCUUGACUGUAGUAAUGUAGCAUAAUCAUUCGUCACUUAAUUAGUGAAUAGUAUGAAUGGUUAAACGAAUUUUCCACUGUCUUAAAGUUAUUUCUAUAAAUUUAAGUUAAUAGUUAAGACGCUAUUUUAAAUUGUAAGACGAAAAGUCCCUAUAGAGCUUAACUACAAUCUUUUCUUAUCUUCUAAACAUUAUUUAUCUAGUGAAGAUCGGUAGUUUAGUUGGGGCGACUGCCUUUUAAAAAAAACAAAGGUAAGCAAACAUAAUAAAAUUAUUUAUUGUAUAAUUUAUAAAUUUAACAAUUACAAAGGUAGGCUAUAAUGACCCGUCUUUAACCAACAAGUGAAGACGAUUAAUAGAUAAAAGCUACCUUAGGGAUAACAGGAUAAUUUUAAUCUAGAGUCCAUAUCGAAGUUAAAGUUUGUCACCUCUAUGUUGAAUUAAGAUACCCAAGUGAUGCAGAAGUCACUAAUGGUAGGUCUGUUCGACCUUUAAAAUCUUACAUGAUUUGAG
rnacentral:rRNA from 1 species